UUCCUUUUUUUUUUUUUUUAAGCAAUUAUCCUUGUUCAUGGUAUUGCUUGUCUUCAUUAACACAGAAAAAUUGUACAAUUUACUGCUUCAGAGGAUGAAAAACAGCAGGGAAAUGCCUCAACUUGUAACUCUCCCAUCCAGAUAUUAUUUUAAGCCUUGAUAUAUGGUAUGACUAUUGGUGUCGCACAGAGAAAACCAUAAUGGAAUUUUGCUUUCCCCUGGGAAAAAAUAGUCAAAGAUGGAGAUGGACAAUUUAAUUUUUGAACCAAUGUUGGGCAAAUGCGUAUGUGGUCCUGAUUUUAGUUGGAAGGAUAUGACCCGUUAAAAUUUACA
rnacentral:misc_RNA from 1 species